rnacentral:rRNA from 1 species
UAUGCCUGGACGUAACACAGCAACACCCCGCUCGCCAAAUAACUACGAGUGAAAACUUAAAACUUAAAGGACUUGACGGUACUUCACACCCAACCUAGAGGAGCCUGUCUACUAACCGAUAAUCCACGAUUAACCCAACCACUUCUAGCCACCCAGCCUAUAUACCACCGUCGCCAGCCUACCUUGUAAAAGAAACAAAGUGAGCUAAACAGUAUUACACUAACACGACAGGUCAAGGUGUAACUAAUGAAGCGGAUCAAGAUGGGCUACAUUCUCUAACCCAGAUUAUACGAACAAGGCUAUGAAACUACCCUUUAAAGGCGGAUUUAGCAGUAAGCUGAGAACAAAGUACUCAACUGAAAUCAAUGCAAUGAAGUGCGUACACACCGCCCGUCACCCUCUGCAGUCACUUUA